rnacentral:lncRNA from 1 species
AUUUGUUUGGCAUGUGUUCUUUAACGUUUAUGUGUUUAAUAUCAUCAUCAGUUCUCAUCCAUUUCCAGGAGAAAAUGUGAAAGGUGCAUUAAGCCUGUACUGUCAACUAUUGUGUUCAAAAUCCUGGUAUCCUACUGAAUAUGUCAUACAAAUGACAGAGUGGAUUCAUCACUAUUAUUGGCUGUGAAUCAUUCUAUGGGACUUGCCAGAUCACCAACCCCAGCAUGGACCAAUCUCUCAUUCCAUCUUCUAGAGAACCUUGUAUAACUUGUUGGUGGUUUAGUGUGUUCUUAGGUUUCUAAUGUUGCAUGACAUGAGAAGUCAUGUCCAUUGAUUAAAAAGGACUGACUAUACAGUCAAGGUAACCCAUUGGCUGCUACCAUUGAAUAUCCCCUUUUACUACAUGAAAAUGUAAUCAGGCCAUUUUGAUUUGAGGGUAAAUCUUUUGCUUCUUAUCAUGGACUUCAUCCAUUGUUGAAAACCAAUGAGUCAAUAUCAACCAGGAGGAAAAGAGUGCGCUGGUCGAACGGGGACUUGCAAGCUUAGCCGGAUAGCCUACUAUAGUCGAUCUCGUAAUAACUGUUCCUCAACUCUUUGCUGUUAUUCCGGUUUCUCCUACCAUCUCCCUGUCUGCAGUCAAUUAAGGCAGUGUCUCCCCCUGUCCCCCCCUGUCUCCCCCUGUCUCCGUCUCGAUGGACUCCAUGUGCGAAUUUUAAAAGCAAUUAAUCACCCAAAUGAGACUAAAUGGUUAGGUUUGUUUUAUUUGGGUAUAAGUUGUUUUAAAACUUGUACCCAUAAAACAAUAGUGUUGUA